rnacentral:misc_RNA from 1 species
UAAAUUUGUAUUAUAUUUUUCACAGUACAUGCCUAGUACAUUCGAUGUAAACGCGCCCGUACUAAGGCUUUGGUGCGCACCAAACUUAAUACGCGUACUAAGGUUUUGACGAUGUAAACUAAGCCUCAGGGAGUAAUAAUAUAGUCAUACCAUCAGGUACGACCGAGAUAGUUUUUCCAUAAAACAAGACUCCCUAUUGCCGGUUAGUGUUUACACGAAAUUGGUGUAUUCUUGCUAUUUCACGGCCCGCAGUGGGGGAGCCACACUUGCUGGACCUGAGGUAUUUGAUGCUUUAAUCAUUAAAUAUUGUGACGUCCCGUCGCCCCAACCCCUCCCCUUUUUCUUUUUUUCCUAUUUCUAUAUUUUUACUUAUAUUUAUCCUCUAUUAACCCCAUGGCUUUCCCUGAUACUUAUGCAUACCCGCAAAAUAAGAAUUAAGGUCCAUUUGAAUGUGACAAAGUACAGACUACUAGAGUAGUAUUGAACUGACUCAGCGUAACAAUCUGAGCAGACCCCAGACCCUAGAUACUUAUUCUUAAAUCAUACUCGGGGAGCCAUCUAGCGUACUAGAAGUAAACUAACAAGUGAUUCAGUCCUAUAUUACUGACACCUUUUCAAUUUUACUACUCAUGCUUAUCUUAAAAUUCUGAAUGACUGCUUUCCGCAAUUAUGAUGGUUAUAUCAAGAUUAAUAUUGUUUAUGAGGAAAUCAAAAUUAUAAAUAUUUAGUCUCACUUAAAAUUUUGUAAACUCGAUACCUCCUGAACCAAGAUUCCUAAAAUUAUGGAAACACCACAAACAGAACCAGUACGUCUCGCAGUAUCCAAGUAUACAAAUUUUAUUUUAAUCUUGAAACUCAAAAUUUAGACUUCGAGAUUUUCAAAAAUCCAGAAUAGCCACUAGAAGCGCUCUUAAAACAGAAUUUUUGGCGCAACCUAGAAUCCGGCACCUUAAACCGUUUCCGAAUUAUAAGCGAUCCAAAUUGGGAAACUGCCCCCCCCACAAAUGUAAAUAUGAGCCUUCCUGAUGAUACUGGUACUGUUCCGCCCUCAUUCCGAUACCUGAUUACGAGAUAUAAUAAUUUAAAGGUUUUGCUCGAAAAUACAUAAGCAAAAUAUUAAUUAACGAAUGAAAAUCGUUAUUAAAUAAAUUAAUUUUACUAAUCCUACCAAAUUAAAAUAACUACUUCAAGGUUUAUUAUACCAACUUUCGUGAACCUAACUAUUAAUUAUCUAAUUGUUUAUUGCUAAUGAACAAUUAAAACUUAUAAAAACUAAAGGUACAACUAGUAAAAUUAAUGACAAAUUAUUGCGCCGACCAUGUGCGAAUAAGAAUUAUGUUUUAUUAAAUAAGAAUUAAAUUUUAUUAACUAAUUAUUCCAUUAAGCUUUAAAGGGUAUUGCACCAGCCUUAAACAAUAUAAGUCAUUGUUAUAAUCAAUCUAACUAUGAAACAUUGAAAUCUUAUAAAACUUUAUCUCUUUCUGACGUGAAAGGUCUCACUCAAAAUAAAUCUUGAUUAGCUCUAUGGUCUAUGAAUGCAAUUAUCACAGAUAUAAUUAAUUAAAUAACAAUCACUUUUAUUAUACUAUCCUGCGAAUCUUAUAUUAAUACCGAAACUCUACUAUAAGUUAAGAACAAAUUUUGAGGCUUCUGCAAAAUAUUCGACAAGGCGUAUAAAAUUGUUAAGGCGCAUACAAUUGUGAAUAUUAAUUAAGAAUAAUUUUAAUGGGCCGGAACAUUAUAAUUAAUAAUGUGUAUCGGCACAUAUUGCUUAUAAAUCGGCAUUACUCUUGAAGCCUGAGAAAUAGUAACUAUUUGAGAAAUCAUCCGCGCCAAUUUGAAACAUGGUCAAUCCUAAAAUCAUAUUGAAACAAAUUCCAUUAAUAAGACUCGAGAGAAUUAAAUAAUAUUUUCUAUUAAAAGGCUUCCAAGAACAAGAUGCUGCACCGCGACAGGUGAUGCAAUCGAUGAUACAUACUUUAACAUUGAAAAAUCUGACAUCGAGACUGUUUAGACUAUCUGAUAACUUUGAUAUCGAUAUGCCGCCGAUUUCACCCUACUCAUCUAUGCAUCGGAACUAGGGCAACCGAUGCAGGCGCGGGGGCGGGUAAUUAAUAUGCAUUAUAAUAUAAAAGACAGUACCUUAUCCCGGCGCGACACUCUCCAGUAUCGUUACAGUAAUAUCUCCGUAACAGUCUCAAGUAAUCGCGAUAUUUCGGAAAAGAAUUUUGGUGAUAGUUCGGAAUUCCACAAGGAACAAAGUCUCGGCGAUCUGUCGGAAUCCGAAAAAGGGAAACAAGGUCUUAGAUUGUGGCCCUUGCGGACCCAGAGUCAUCCAUCGUUGUCUUGUGCGGUCAAGAUGGGUUCGUUCUCGUUGGAGAUUAUAACCUCUUGGACUGCAGUGGUCGGAAACUGCUCUGCUUGGUUCUGAUUCUGAUCCAUAGAAGGAGAUGGAUCCAAAAAGUAUGUCUCUUUACUCAGAACAUCUCUGGUUGGAGAGCCCUGAGUGCGUUUCUUACUUGAUCUACUUUCUUUGUUUGAUACAGCUCUAACACUUUUACUCAUGCUUACAGAAGAGGAUUUGCUGGCGUUUCUGGUUUCUUGUUUCGACAUUGCGAACAUCAGAGACAAUUGGAAGCUUUUUUAAAAACCCAAGACAAAUAUUCAAGCCUGACUACCCUUGUCAAUCCCACUCUUAGUGCCUUUUAGGUUAAAUUCUAAUUUGAAUAAAUCACUACAUGAAAAAAACAAAAAAAAACACGAGUGUGACAGUUCAGCUCGACUUCAGCCAGGAUUUGAGGUUCAAGACUACUAACCCGUCUGAAUGAGACAAGCUCUCGCAUAUAUAUAUGAGCUGUAAUCUUAUGACAUUAUAACAAAUAGAUUGAUUCUCCUCCUAAUUUAAAUUGGUAUGCAAAAUUAUUAUGUACAAUUGUGAAAAAUAUAAUUAAUUUAUUCUAAGGACUAGCUUCUCGUAUAACGAUUAUUAACUUAUCUGCUAAGAAGAUACUUAAACUAAACGAAUCAGAUUUCCAUGACAUAAAUCACCAUAGUUCCAAAAAAAAAAUUCCAGUUAAUUUACUACCCAAAUAUACAAUAUUUAUUAAAACUGUUGGAUUUUUCUUAGGUAGCAGAUAGCACGUCACACUAUAUUUCCGUGUAUAUAAUUGCUAUGUAUUUCAAGUAAAAGAUUACACGAAUCAAAGAUAGGUUAACACGCCGCGUGAUCCUUCUCGUGCAGGAUGGUAGAGCGUACUGACUAGCGACAAUGACGACUAGUGACAAAAAACAAAAGGAAGAGAGCGAGUAUAGACAGCGCGCUAGUGGUACCCGGUAACAGCCAUGAAA